GAUGAACGUUAGCGGCAGGCCUAACACAUGCAAGUCGAGGGAGAAGCCCUUUCGGGGGCAGAAACCGGCGCACGGGUGCGUAACGCGUAUGCAACCUACCUUUCACAGGGGGAUAGCCCGAAGAAAUUUGGAUUAAUACCCCAUAAUAUUAUUGGAUGGCAUCAUUUGAUAAUUAAAACUGCGGUGGUGAAAGAUGGGCAUGCGUCCUAUUAGCUAGUUGGAGUGGUAACGGCACCCCAAGGCUACGAUAGGUAGGGGUCCUGAGAGGGAGAUCCCCCACACUGGUACUGAGACAGGGACCAGACUCCUACGGGAGGCAGCAGUGAGGAAUAUUGGUCAAUGGUCGGAAGACUGAACCAGCCAUGCCGCGUGCAGGAAGAAUGCCUUAUGGGUUGUAAACUGCUUUUAUAUGGGAAGAAUAAGGUGUACGUGUACAUUGAUGACGGUACCAUAUGAAUAAGCAUCGGCUAACUCCGUG
rnacentral:rRNA from 1 species